ACAACCCGCCCCAGGAGGGACCCAGGCAGCCCGGGAGAGACAGGCUGCUCUGUGUUGCAGCUCUCGCUCUGUCUUUUGUAAAAUAACGCUUAGCUUCGCCCUCUCCUUAACAGCAAUCUCUGAAAAAACCUGAUGCGAGUCUAAGAAGAGAGAAAAAAAAAUUGCCCCUAGCACUGGCCUCCGGAUGUCACCAUGGUGACUCGGUGUCCUUGGUUCCUGGUUGGCCUCUGGGCUUUGUGUAUGUUUGAGGCAGCAGCCGCUCAGGCUACUGCACCCGGUUCGGCUCUGAAAGUUUCCUGUGGCCAACUCAUUCAGUCAGGUCCUAAAAGAAAUAGAUGGUGGGCCUCAUCUGGACCCAGGUCACAGUCUGCUGACGUCUGGACCCGACUACUUCUAAGGAAUGUUCUGGAUCAGACAGUCACAGUUUUGUGUGCAACUGGACGUGUGUCACCGCCAAAUUGGAGAAGGAGUUUGCUGGCCCCAACUUACCGGCUCAGCAGCUGGCUCUGCCACCGCCUCCCUGCGGUCAUCCUGGACGCCGUGGGCUGCUCUGUUCUAGCAGGCCCUCCUGUCCAGUACCGAUCGGAUGGAAGAAGAUGGCUUUUCAGCCUCUCCCAAGUGUCCCAUUGUCCCAGUGGACACAAGUACAUGACGCCCCAUGGUCCUUAUGGUGAAUGCACAUCGUCUCCCCAGCCCUUUGUCCCCCUCUAAGCUGUGAGUGAUUUCAUGGUGUCCCACGCAGUUACCUUGAGUGUGGAGACUGGCAGGUCUUGCUCCACUCUUUUUUUAAUGGUACUCGGGAUGGAACCCACAGGCUCCUACACUCUAGGCAAGUCCUGUACCACUGAGCUACCUCCCCAGCCUUUUAAUUUUUUUAAUUUUGAGACAAGGUUCUUACUAAGUUGCUGAGGCUGACCUCCAUCUUGCGAUACUCCUGCCUCAGCCUCUAGAGUAACUGGGACCACAGGCAUGUGCCACCAUGUCUGGCUUUUGCUAGACACGUUCAUGAAUUAAUGAACUCAAAUGUUUAAUUUUUCUAAAAAAGCAAAAUAAAAGCAAAGAAAA